rnacentral:rRNA from 1 species
AUGGCGGCGUUGAUGCCGCGGUCGAGCAUCUUGUUGCCGUCGUCGCCGCCGCCGCCGGGGGCGAACCCCCCGCCCACGUCGCCCUGGAAGGCGAACGAGGGACGGCGCGGCCGUGUAAGCCGAGGCGGAGAGGGGGCUGCUGGGGAUGAGCCGGGUGCAGGCCGGGGAGGUGGCCACGGACGCCGCCAUCGCUGCCGCUGCUGUAGCCCCACAGCCAAGCUGCGAACUUCCCACCACCACACACGCACGCGCGUGCGCGCUGAGGCUGGUUGCCUCUGGCACUUGCUUCUCGUCUUGACUGACGUAGUAGGUGUUUGGCCUUUGCUUCCGACCGGUGCUUUUUUCUGA